CUCCAUCUCAAAAAAAAGAAAGAAAGGAAAGAGAAGGGGAGGGAAGGGGGAAGGGAAGGGGGAAGGGAAGAAGGAAAGGAAAAAGGAAAGGAAAGAUUAUAUAAUUUAUUCAAGAUUCCACAGGUGGUAGGGGAAGAACCAGAACCGAGGUCUGCUCAACUAUGAAUCUUUAGGUCUUUUUUCCAUAUUACCCUGCCGCCUGGGUCCUUUCUGAGUUUAUUUCACUGCUUUUCCUUCAGAUGGUCACUCUCAUAUGCCUUACAGUCUUGCUUCUCAAAAUCUAGCCCUUGGACCAGCAUCAUUGGCAUUACCAGAAACCCCAUUAGAACUGAAGAAUCUCAGUUGCUCCAGUCCUACUGAAUGAGAUUCUGAAUUUUUAUAAGAUCUCCAGGUUAUUUCAAUCUCCAUUACAAUUUAAGAAACACUGGUCUAGAGAAAAAUCUAAAGGUAUUUUAGGCUAUAAUUCUCAAAUUUUAUGGCAUACUGAUAUCCCUUGGAAUAAUUUUUAAUUCCUGAUACCCAAGCCACAACCCCUAUCAAUUAAAUCAAAUCCGAAUCUCUGGGGAUGGAGCAUAGCAUAUGUUAAAACUCCCCAAGUGAUCCAAAGUAUAGCCAUGUUUGGGAGCUAGGUCUUAAAACAGUACGGUUAGUCCUUCAUGUUCCUAAGAAUACUGGGAGCUUCUCAUCUUCACAUGCUGAUUCAGUAGAUCUAGUUUGGGGCCUGAGAUUCUUCAUUUCUAACAAGUUCUCGAAUGGUAGUUUCUGCUGCUCCUAAAAGUUUCUGGAGUUAAAUGAAACUACCGGAAGCCUCCUUCAACAAUGUCAAUAAAUACAAAUAGCAUCUAAUCAAGGAAAGCUUCUCUAAGGCACAGUCCUGGCCUUCUAACUCCACCUGAGAGCAAAAAAGGAACUCCGGGAGAAGGGGUGGAGGUGCUGCAGGCUCUUACAAGGCUCCCCAGGUUACUUCACACCUGGUGCUGGGCAGACCCACCUAGGUGUGCCAGACAGUUGGGAUCAGGCUGCUGCUUGCAGCCCCAAGGCAAGAGUUCUUGCAAACACAUACUUUUUUCUCAUUGCCUGUGCCUUCACCAUCUGUCUACCUUUCUUUCCCCGGGUCCUUCUCUUUCUUUUCCCUGGGUUCCUGUCUCCAGGCUUCCCAGCAGCAACUGGGGCACUUGCUUGGUCUGCUGUGUGCUUACUUGGGUUUUGGACUAAGUCAAAACUGCAAAAUCUCAGGCCAUAACACAGAGGAGCUUAAGCCAGCAGAAUAAGAAGGGCCCUGGGGAUAAGUGCCUAAGAGAUAUGGCAUGAUGGAACUUGAUUUGUUUUUCAUCACAGAUCCAUUCAUGACACACAAUAUGUGGUCUGAUAGCUUGGCAGGACUGAACAUGAACUAUUCUCACUCCAGCUUAUAAUUUACAUAUUUUUCCCUUGGCAAGACCCAAGCAACUGUCAUCAGCAGGUUGUGUGGGACUUGUCGAGUGUGGUGGCAGGUCCACACUGGGUUUGGCUGUAUCCCAAAGUUUUGACUCAUCCCCUGGCCUGUGGCAGAGUGGGAAAUCUUGCUGGUGUAGCUAGGUAAGGGCUUCCCUCUGGACAUGCCAGGGCUAAGGAAUCCUCAACAGCCUUAGCUGGCCAUUUCUGAGAUGGCGAAACACUUACCCAGAAUUCCACUGGGCCAAAAGUUAACCUCUACAGAAGAGCAAACUAAUUCACUUUGUCUAGCUUUGACAGGAAAGAACAGAAAGAGAAGGGAAAAACUGAGACCUUAGGAUAUUCAACAUAAAGGCAGCCAAGUAGAGGAUUCUUAAAAUCUGUUUCUAAAUUAGGAUCGUCCCACAUUUAUUUGGGGCUUAUUCAAUGACAUUUUCCUAAGCACUAGUUAACAAGGCAUCUUACCACAUGCCAGAUAAAACUGGUCGUCAGAACAUAACCUUUUUACCCUGCGGAAUAACACUUUUCACCCAGAUUCUUGAGACUCUUUAAUUUCCUUACAGUUUCCAACCAUUUAGGGAAAGCUACUCUGGGAACUGAAAGAGGCAAUGUGGCUCAGAGAUUGAGCAGGUUUCUCCUCCCUACUAACAGCAUCAGAUGAUAAUUAAUCCUCAUUGCUUCCCAAAGGACAGCCAAGGAAAAACUUCAUUUCCCAGAUGAGGUGGCUCAACAAACUGCCCAAGACCAGUGUCCCAGCUAGCAAGUAGCCAGCUACCCACAGUGCAAUCUGUUUCAGCCCUUGCGACAGGCUUCUGGUCUCCUGCAACUGGUCUGAGUAGACUUAAGUUCCUGUCUUCACUUGCCCCAGCCUUGUAACACCUCCCUUGAGAGUACUAUUUCUAUGUAGGCUUUUUAGGGCUGAAAUGAGAGAAGACAUUUCCUGGCCCUGAAGUGAGUCAUUGGCCUAGUAAAACUUCACCUAAGGGGUAGCUGACUAGCCAAUUGAGGACAAUGGAGGAAGCCUGGCACCUCUGGAGGGAAGUUCCUGAUGUGUGGAGAUUUGCCAUCUAUGAGAUGGCAAGGCUCAGUGGCUACACAGGCCCUCCGGCAGCCUUAAGCAUCAAAUAAAUUACAUAAAUACUUAGGGCCUCUAGGAUCCAGGUCUUGAACUAUGUGCCUUGGAAAGUCCAGAGUUGAGGUUCUUGCUCUCACUUACUAUUUUCAGUGUGGUCCCUGGGAAGCAGCAUCAGCAUCACCUGGGAACCUGUUAGAAAUAAUUGUCAGACACCAUCCCAGACCUACUGAAGCAGAAUCUCUGGUGCUGGGAUACAGAAUUCUGUGUCUCACCAGCUCUCUAGGUGAUUCUGGUGCAAGUCCAAGUUUGAGGGCCAUUGCUUUUAUCAAACCAUUAUUUGUUGAGCCCCUUUAAAUCAGGUUGAAUUGGGGUUCUCUAGAGGUAAGGGGGGCUGGGUAACAAAGUGAGGCUCUCAAGUCAGGUUACCUGGUUCUCUGCAACUUCCUAGUGAUGUGACCUUGGAUGUCAGUUCUCUCACCUCUAAGACGGGGGAAAUAAAACCUCUUCCACUGGGAGGUCGUGUGUGUCUGGCCUAUGUAGUUUCUCUCUUUUCGCCACCCCAAUCUAUCUAAAAGGAAAUUUACAGAACAGGACCUACUGUUCCUAGGGUAAAAAUCUGCAAGAUUGGCCACAUGCAGGAUGCUGAUGUUAAUACCUUUUUAAUUAACAUUUUAAGUGGUUCUAGGUUUAAAUGAGUUUGGUUCAGCCUUUAAGUCCUGAGGAUAAUGGUAUUUUUAGCAGAAAUAUGUUUUCCCAUGCUGACUUACAUCCAAAUAGUUUCAAAGAUUAGAUUACAACUUUACUAAAAAGUGAAACUUAACUUCUACUUAGGUUUCCUUUGUUUUCUUUUUAAGAGAGAGGAAGAAUAGAUCAUCAAGGUUGAUUUUUUUUUUUUUGUAUUUGUAAUUCAGGAUUAGGCAAAUGUUUAAAAACUAAUAAAAAUGAUUUGAGCAUUUUAAUUAUUUUCUCUUAAGGCAGAACAUUUUUUACUCACUUCCAUGUUACAUUGAUAUCUGCUUAUAAAAAAAAUAUACCUUUAUAGCAGAAAUUUUAGAAAAUACAGAGAAACAUGAAGAGGAAAGCAAGCACACAUAUCCUACUGCCCAGAUAAUCACUGUGAAUGUUUUGGUGUAUUUCUUUGUGGCUUUUCUUCCUGCUCACAUAUGUAAUGGUUGAUAUGUAUCUAUAUUUAAGAUGUUUUAAUGAAAUCACACUCUACUGUUUUUAUCACCCCGCAGAGGCAGGAUGGACUCCCCCCAACCCAAAAUUUGGUUCAGAUGUCAAAACUGAUGAUGUCACACAUACAUCUUAAGAGGGUAUGGAAAGGUUUCUUGCAUAAUGAGGCUUUCUAGAAAGAGCAGAGUAGGAUUCCAAGGAAGUCCAUAAAUGGCUUGAGAAAGCAGGGAAAGGAGACUAGCUUGGGGUUUUUAUCGCAGUUAGAGUGUGGGGCUGAGUGGAGGGCUCCUGCACACAGACUGAACACUGCAUGGUUUGAACUUCUCACUGGUGCACUGGGGUUUUCUUAUCAGCUUGUCCAGAUGUGGAACCAAAUGGAAAGGGCAGUCACGGGGCUUGAAAGUUGUCAGCAGCCAAACGUCAAAACUGGAAUUAGACUCUUAAUUAUAUGUAGUUUUGCAUCUUUCUCUUAAAUUUAGCAUUGUACUUUCUGUGCUUGAGAGACAAAGCUUAAACCAAAAGCUUUACUGUCAAACUAGAUUGCUUUUGACAUUGGCAUCUUGUGGCUAUGCCAGUGUUUCUAGUGACUAAUCAUUUAUUUAUUCAUAUUCUAGAAGAAAAGGAUGUAUGGAUUAAAAACAUUGACUUUUUUUUUAAUAAAACAAACAAAAGAGUGUGGAAUAAGAAAACAGAGCAUACUAUAUAUCCCAAAAGCAAUAUAUCCAAAAGUUUUCCUUGAGAAAAAAAAAAACCAGCUUGCUCAGGAAAGAGAAUACAGAUUGUUUUCUCUUUGUAAGUAUAUUUGAAUUUUUUAUGAUCAAACAUGACUCUCAAUUUACUGCAAAAUACGACUGCAGAAUGUGUGAGUCAUGUAUCUAAUCUGCUUUGAAAUAUUGUUCCUAAAGAACAUAGGUACUUAUAAUCCUGUACAAUCCACAGUUGGAGUCCACACCUUGUGACAACAAAAGACAACUCAAAUCAGCUUCAAGCAUGGAUCAUAACUAACCGCGGGGCUAUUUUUUCCAUCUGUAAUAAAGAAUGUUCCAACAUCUUUAAUAAUCGAAGAUAAUCCUCUGUCGUCAUCUUGAGCAUCUAGGUUAUAAAAAUACAUACAGUGCUUUGAAGAAAGGUUCUGGUCCACUGGUGUCACGUGAAGGUCAGAUUAUGGAAAACUGGCAUUGUUACAACAAGAAAUGAAGGCUGCUCAUGUUUUCUCUGGGUAUUUGGAAUAAAGUAUCUCAUAGUUUCCAACUUGAAGAUUUAAUUAAAGGCAUAAGGAGUGAUUAAUUCUAAAUGCUCAUCACUGACAAUGACUUGCCAUAUGUUAGAGAAACACCUAUUGAAAUGAAUGAGGGAAAAAUGUUUGGUUUCAGAUUGAAGGUCUCCUGAAAAACGUUUUGAGUGUUCAAACAUUUUGAACAGAAUAAUCAGAACAAUUUGGAAUGUCUUAUUCCAAGAUAAAAAGCACAUUUUUUAAAAAAAAGAUAUUUGGUAGAAAUAUUAGCCAAUCCUAUUUAUCCACUUUUAUGCAAAAGAACUUGUCAUCUCUGAGAAAUAAAGGGGGUAUGCUUUUUGAACUGAAGUGUAAAGAUUGGCAAUACAGUGUCAAAAUAAUAGCUAGAUGGGGGAGAUAUAAGACAGGAGGAUGCGGGUGGGGAUGAAUCAGUUGAGAAGAAAUGCUCUUCAUGGUUUUGCAUUUGGAGAAACAUGUGCUGCUCAUAAUUCCCCUACAAUGCCUGGCAACCAUGCAUCUUAGGCCACCAUGCAUCUUAGGCCACCAUGCAUCUUAGGCCACCAAAUUAUGAGGAGCAUCCAAGUAUGUUCUCUAAAUUCAAAACAUUGGGAAUGGUCCAGAGGUGCCUCUGGUGGUUGCCAUCUCCAGAACUCCCCCUUCAAGUUUCUUUGUUGGUCACCAGGGAACCAGGUCAGAGUUGAACUUAUCCUCCAUCCUCCUGGAAGCCCUGUGUACUAAUCUUGUUGAGAUUUUUGGCCACUCAAUGGCUUUGGCUUCAAAUUGCCUUUCCAGUUUUUCACCCUCAAUAAAAACUUCUUCAUCCUUCCCAGGCAUACAAAACAACCUGAAUGAACUUGUUCACACUAAGGUAGGGGUAGAGAAACUGUGCAGGCUAAGACAAAGGCUAUGGUGACUGACAGCAUUAGAGCAAGGGUUACCCAGAAUCCCAGGAGAUACCCCUGGGCUUCUUCCAAUUGAGUCUCCUAGUAAAGAAUCUUGGAGACUGGGUCUUUACUACCAUCUCUUUGUUCCAUAAGUCCAGUAUUGAGAAGGCAGUGAGAGAUUAAAAAUUAUUGUGUCAGCCUCUUAUCUCUCAGGCCAAUAGCCAUCUUGUGACUACCCAAGGCACUUGGCAGGAGCCCUGGAGCCCAACCUCAGAUCUUAGGCUAUGGCUAGCCUCAUCCUCACCUUGCUUCUUCAGGCUACCAGUGUAUGCUGGGCUGGUGAAACACUGGGCAAUCCACCCAAUUGCCCAUCAGAAACCUUUGUUAUGGACAUUCCCAAAUCUUCUCACAGUUUCUUCUCACUGUUGACAUACCAAAGAGACAUUUCCAAGACUGUCUACUUCUGCUUUCCUCCGCCUACAAAGCUCCUAAGGCCUCCAGUGACAACAUGCUUGAGUAUCCUUAUAUCUCUUGGAGAGCAGGUUCAUGUUCUGAUACUAAGCACUUUCUGAAUUUAUGAGAAGAAAAGUAGUUCUCUGCCUUGGGGAGCAUUGGCUAAUAAUUUUUAGAUAAUUAAAAACUGCCAUGAUAUACAUUCAUACUAAAUCCCAGCUUAUGUUACUCUCCAGUAUCAAAGGGUGAAUGUUGACCAUGAAAAUAAUGGUAACAAUAACCACAAUUUAUUAUUGCUUAUUAUUGGUGCCACACGCCAUGCUAAGCAUUGGGCCUAGGUCCUCCCUAGUUCUCCC
rnacentral:lncRNA from 1 species